CUGGGAAAGUUUCGCUUUAGGAAUGCACAUGAAUGGCCUAAUUUGGGCUAGGACAGGAAUCCCCCCGGUCGAACCAAUCAGGAGUGCGGUUGCAAACAAUUGCUGUCCUGUGCCCAGCCAAUGCUAUAACUCUUGCGAUUGGGCGAAGGCAGCUUUCUCGCGGUGGGAGGAGACGAGAAGGGGCUGCCGGAUCGCCACGUUUACAGGGCGGUUCGGGUUUCCCUCUACGAGCCAGCAGCAAAACAGAGCUGGGGACGGGCUGUGAUGUGGAAAAGUUCCCAGGGAAACUUCCCAACGCCUGUGUGCGGUGGACCAUCUGCCGUUGCUUUGCCUGAAGGGAAAGUUCGAGAGAUAUAUGCAUCUUAGUCCUCUGCCUGCUUGCUUGGAAGAAGGCCAAGUGGAGAAUUCAGCAACGAAAAGAGAGGUUGCACAAAGGCAAAUUCGGCAAUGAAAUCACUGUAUUGUUUUCAACAACACAGACAAGAUCCUGGAUCAGAAAAGCAAAGGAAACAAUGUCUAUUAGUAUUCAAGAUUUACUUUAUUGUGAAAUAUGUUACUUGGUGCACAUUAAACACUCAUAAUCUUCUGAAA